CCUGAUAAGAGAAGAGAGGUGGAAGAGAAGAGAGAGAGCUCCAGUGAGUUCUGAUGCCAAGGAUUUUCAUUUCUGUGUCACGGAAACCAGAAGGAUCAUAAUGGACUCUGGCAAAGAAGUCGACACCACAGAAGAGCCCGCUACCAGUGUCCAUUCUGUAUCUCUCCCUAAAAUGAACCGUGCUUCAAACACACACACACAACCACAUCAGCUUGACUGACGUGCUGUAUUUUAUCCUGCUUUAACAACAGCAACCAGGAAAUACCAGCAGUGGUCAUCACACACACAGCACAGAAAAAGGGUGAAGUGUAGCCUCAGAAGCCAGUAUCAACUGAGCUGGAGAAGCUGCAUCUGGUUUGAAAGCAAAGAAGGACUCCGUUCAUUACUCACUACAGCCUGCAUGUAAAAUAGGCAGCAGAUACAGGACCGCUCCAUUGAAUUUUCCCUGAGCCAAAGUAGGUAUGGAAACAUCUGCAAAAGCUGGUCAGCUCAUGAAGCAAGGCGCUAAAGAGCAACCUACUGCCAUUGAGGAAAUCAGGACAGGUCCAUGUAAUAACAGCAAGCAGAGGUAGAAACAAAUGCACGGCAACCAUAAGAAAACUGUAGCUGCGACAAAUGAGAAAGUAAAAUUCACUCCUGAAACGAUGCUGAC